GCUGUCGUGAUGCCUAAAAAGCAUUGCAUAGCAAGGGCCGGGCAAGACCGGUGCCAGCCGCCGCGGUAAUACCGGCGGCUCGAGUGGUGGCCACUAUUACUGGGCUUAAAGCGUCCGUAGCUUGAUUGUUAAGUCUCUUGGGAAAUCCACCGGCUCAACCGAUGGGCGUUCAGGAGAAACUGGCAAUCUAGGGACCGGGAGAGGUGAGAGGUACUCCAGGGGUAGGAGUGAAAUCCUGUAAUCCUUGGGGGACCACCUGUGGCGAAGGCGUCUCACUAGAACGGCUCCGACAGUGAGGGACGAAAGCUGGGGGAGCAAACCGGAUUAGAUACCCGGGUAGUCCCAGCUGUAAACGAUGCGCGUUAGGUGUAUCGGUGACCACGAGUCAUCGAGGUGCCGAAGGGAAACCGUGAAACGU
rnacentral:rRNA from 1 species